rnacentral:rRNA from 1 species
UGUUUUCCGUAGGUGAACUGCGAGGAUCAUCCAGUCUAU